rnacentral:rRNA from 1 species
CGGAGGAUGCGAGCGUUAUCCGGAUUUAUUGGGUUUAAAGGGAGCGUAGAUGGGCUUUAAGUCAGUUGUGAAAUUCUGCGGCUCAACCGUAGGACUGCAGUUGAAACUGGGAGCCUUGAGUGCAGUUGAGGUGCAUGGAAUUCGUGGUGUAGCGGUGAAAUGCUUAGAUAUCACGAAGACUCCGAUUGCGAAGGCAGUGCACCAAGCUGUAACUGACAUUGAUGCUCGAAAGUGUGGGUAUCAAACAGGAUU